rnacentral:rRNA from 1 species
GGGAACUCUGCAAAUUGAUACCGUAACUUCGGAAGAAGGUAUGCCUUCGAUGGUGUAGGGAUUUACUCCCGAAGCUGAUGAAGGUCGCAGGUAAUCGGUGGCUGCGACUGUUUAUCAAAAACACAGGACUCUGCGAACACGCAAGUGGAAGUAUAGGGUCUGACGCCUGCCCGGUGCCGGAAGGUUAAUUGAUGGGGUUAGCCGCAAGGCGAAGCUCUUGAUCGAAGCCCCGGUAAACGGCGGCCGUAACAAUAACGGUCCUAAGGUAGCGAAAUUCCUUGUCGGGUAAGUUCCGACCUGCACGAAUGGCGUAACGCUGGCCACACUGUCUCGACCCGAGACUCAGUGAAGUUGAAAUCGCUGUGAAGAUGCGGCGUUCCCGCGGCAAGACGGAAAGACCCCGUGAACCUUCACUACAGCUUUACACUGAACUUUGAACCUUUCUGUGUAGGAUAGGUGGGAGGCUAUGAAACUUGGGCGCUAGCUCGAGUGGAGCAACCUUGAAAUACCACCCUGGGAUGUUUGAAGUUCUAACCUUGGUCCGUAAUCCGGAUUGGGGACAGUGUAUGGUGGGUAGUUUGACUGGGGCGGUCUCCUCCCAAAGAGUAACGGAGGAGUGCAAUGGUACGCUCAGCGCGGUCGGUCAUCGCGCUCUAGAGUGCAAAGGCAUAAGCGUGCUUAACUGUGAGACAGACACGUCGAACAGGUACGAAAGUAGGUCUUAGUGAUCCGGUGGUUCUGUAUGGAAGGGCCAUCGCUCAACGGAUAAAAGGUACUCCGGGGAUAACAGGCUUAUUCCUCCCAAGAGUCCACAUCGACGGAGGAGUUUGGCACCUCGAUGUCGGCUCAUCACAUCCUGGGGCUGUAGCAGGUCCCAAGGGUAUGGCUGUUCGCCAUUUAAAGUGGUACGCGAGCUGGGUUCAGAACGUCGUGAGACAGUUCGGUCCCUAUCUGCCGUGGGCGUUGGAAACUUGAGGGUGAGCUGUCCUUAGUACGAGAGGACCGGGAUGGACGUAUCUCUGGUGUUCCGGUUGUCACGCCAGUGGCACUGCCGGGUAGCUAUAUACGGACGGGAUAAGCGCUGAAAGCAUCUAAGCGCGAAGCCCCCCCCAAGAUUAGGUUUCCCUGGGAACUCGAUUCCCCUAAAGGGCCGUCGGAGACUACGACGUUGAUAGGCUGGGUGUGUAAGUGCAGCAAUGCAUUGAGCUAACCAGUACUAAUUGCCCGUGAGGCUUGACCGU